UACGUAGGAGACGAGCGUUGUCCGGAGUUACUGGGCGUAAAGGGUGCGCAGGUGGCGGCGCGCGUGGGGGGUGAAAUCGCCCGGCUUAACUGGGCGGGGGCCUUCCAGACGGCGUGGCUUGAGCAGCGGAGGGGGACGUGGAAUUCCGGGUGGAGCGGUGAAAUGCGCAGAUAUCAGGAGGAACACCGGUGGCGAAGGCGGAUCUCUGGGCCAUUACUGACGCUGAGGAGCGAAAGCGUGGGGAGCGAACAGG
rnacentral:rRNA from 1 species